rnacentral:lncRNA from 1 species
GUUCCGGAACGCCGCGGCCCAGGGCUGCCACCUCCGCGGGGAACACCCUUGCUCUGCCCAGCUGGCGGGAGCAUCAUCUGCCCCCCCGCCACCCAGCCGGGAGCCCGAUCCGACUCAGGAUUACACUGACAUCACUGCGAGAGAUGCUGGGAUCAUUCCCCGGGGGAGGGAAGGAAAGACGCGUGUCAGCCUCGCAGUCGCGGCGCUUUCUGCAGGCCCUGGCAAGCUUUUUUGCACUAGUUUGGGGGGAGCGGGAGAGUGUGGAUGAGGAUGCAGCAUAGCUGGGCAUCUUCUUUGAAAAUCUACCCGUUGGAAGGUCCGGGUAUUUAAUUAGGACCUCUUCAUCCCAAGCAGCAGGGCGAGAAUGUCCCAAAAUAACUAACCCAGAGAGUACACUCCAGCCUUCCUAGCCAAGUGUCCUGAGGCUACGUUAACAGGCAGAACUAAAUCUAGUAAAGUGCAGGGAUUAAUGAACAAACAGUUAAAGCAACAAGAUCCCUCACCUACACCCCCAUUUCUGAGGCGGACGCCCCUUUCCCUGGAGAAAAAAUUUGUCCUCCUAAAGAGGGGAUGUCCUGAAGAGAAGACGGCAAAUCAUUCCUUCUGAAGGACUCUGAUGUCUCAGCUUGCUGGGCUUUUGCUUUUUUUUUUUUUUUUUUUUUUUUUUAACCUGUUUUGGUUUACCCCUACUGUAACUCCUGAAAUGUGAAACCUAGAUAAAAGUUACUGCUGGGUUUUCUUGUUCAAAGAAGAGAAGAGAUUCUGUUCAUCUGUAGACAGUUAAUGCAUCCUCUUGACUUCUCAGGGUGUCUUUUCUCAAGGCUUGCUGUUACUCAUUUCAACACCCGAUUUUAUUUUAACGGUAAAGAGCUCAACAGUUAUCUUAGUUGAAAUUUUGUUUUGUUUUUGACAAAUGAAAACAAAUGAAUUGCUUUGUUUUUUCACAAAUGAAUUAUCACAUCAAAUGCAAUGAAGAUCCCAAGCUCUGGCAUCAGACUUGAUUCAAAUCCUGGUUCUAGGGCCUGGGUCAAGUAACUAGACUUUUCUGUUCCUUCAAUUCCUCAUCUAUGAAAUGAAGAUAAUCAAGACCUACCUCUUAAUAUAGCGGUGGAUCGAAUGUGCUAUGAUGAUGGAGGGCCUCUUUAUCUGGUAAUGCCUACUCAUCCCUCAGAGCUCAUCCCAAGUAUGCCCUCUCUGAGGAGGUCUUCCCUGACACUCCUGGACAAGGAUUUCUCACUGUGAGAGAAGUGAGCCACCAGAUAGAGAGGACACUCAAACAGCCCCAUGCAGAGGCCAAUAUAGAAAGGAUAAAAUAGCCAGCAUCAACUUACCGGCUUUGUAAGAGAGCCUUUAUAACUGAAUCCACUGCCCCGGUCAAGCCUUCAGAUGACUGCAGCUCUAGCCUACAUCUGGCUGCAAUCUCAGGUGUUCAGAUCAAGGGAAACUACUCUAAGAGGCUACACUUGAGGAACAACAACCAAGGAGCUUCAACUGCAUCUGGAUUUCAGGAGUCUGGAAAACUUUUCUUUUGAGCUAUUGACAGCCUUUAACAACUGAGUAAAGUGUACUCCUGUGAACAAAAUUCAGAGCCUGUUUGUUUCUCUCUACCUGAUUUCUCCAGAAUUUGGAAACUAUUUGUGAGUAUUCUUAACUUAUGGAAACAUAGUUAUUUGCAUAAGUGCAAUAAGAAUCUGUUUUCAUUUGUAACAGGACACAAUUGGAAAAACUGGUUAUUUUACCAAGGCUUUUACUGGAAUGGUGUGCUUUCUUUUAAGGAAUCAAACUUGACUUAUAGAGCCAAUAAAAGCCCCUUGGAAACACUGGCCUUAUACAUUGUCUACACAGUCUCUGUGUAGGGUUCCUAACCUGUGAGUAAAGAAUGUCACUUUUUAACAGUCCCAGGAGCCCCCAAGUUAUCUUGGGACCUGAAUAGGAAAGGAAUUUACCCAAUAAUAGAUAUUUGAGUGUACAAACCCAUGGCUGGGCUCAGCUUCAGAAAAAAGUCUUAUCUGAGAUUCCUUAUAGAACAGAGUUCCAUCAAAGCCAAUUUAAAAAGCCUAUGUGAAAAAUAAUUAUUCUUGCUGCACUUUGUAUGAAUAAUCAGGCCAAGUAUAAUAAAGUAAAUCAGUCUUACAGUGAUUUGUCUUUAGUAAAAAUGGGAAACUGGAGAGAGAAAAAAAUUGUUUCAAGAACUAUGGUACAACUGUUACUAGAUUCUAGUCUCAUUCACUGUUUUUGAAUUUUUUUCUGCAAUUUAGACUGACUCUUCUUAUUUCUGUUAACCAACCAGUGAUCUCUGGCUGCUGCUCAGAAGAACUAAGAAGGAUGGGUACCAUCUUUUGUUGGAACUCAGUUACAAAUAACCCUCACCAUACCAGCACUUUCUGAAUGAGCUCCUCUCUACCCUGAAGGCAAAAGACCCAAUAGUUAGGCUGGAAUAUUAUCACCCCUAUUCAGCCUGAAGAAGUUACAGAAAAUGGAUCUUCAUCUGUCUACAACCCUUAGGAUUAAGUGUUCUCUUAUAAUAGGGAGGGGGGAAUUGUCAGAGGCAUUUGAAUCAAAGCAACUCCAUUUCACACAGGGGCUAAGUGAAAUAAGGCUAAGACCUACUAGGCUGCAUUCCCAGGAGGUUAAGACAUUCUAAGUCACAGGAUGAGACAGGAGAGCGGCAUAAGAUGCAGGUCAGAAAGAUCUUGUGGAUAAAACAGGUUGCAGUAAAGAAGCCAGCCAAAACAUCAAAACCAAGAUGGCGACAAAAGUGACUUCUGGUCGUCUGCACUGCUACAUUCCCGCCAGCACCACGGCAGUUUACAAAUGCCAUGGCAAUGUCAGGAGGUUGCCCUACAUGUUCUAAAAUGGGGAGGAACCCUCAGUUCCAGGAAUUGCCCACCCCUUUCCUGGAAAACUCAUGAAUAAUCCACCCUUUGUUUAGCAUAUAAACAAGAAAUAACCAUAAAAAUGGGCAACUAGGUGUGCACCACUGCUCUUCUUAUGGAGUAGCCAUUCUUUCAUUCCUUUACUUUCAUAAUAAACUUGCUUUCACUUAAAAAAAAACUUGACCCUUACCUUAUGCCAUGUAUAAAAAUUAACUCACAAUGAAUCAGGAGGUAUUCCUUUUUCCUGACUGCCUUUGAACUGGGACAUCAUUUUUUUCCCUGUCUUCAGACUUGAACUGAAACAUCAGCUUUUCUUGAGUCUCAACCUGCUGUUCUUUGGACUAGAACUGCACCAUUGGCUCUCUUGGGUUUCCAGCUUAACAACUGUAGAUCUUGGAACUUGGCAGCUUUCAUAAAUACAUGAGUUAAUUUCUUAAAAUAAAUAUAUUCAUAUGUAUGUAUAUAAAAUACAUAUCUAUCUAUCUAUCUAUCUAUCUAUCUAUCUAUCUAUCUAUCUAUCUUCUAUUGAUUUUUUUUUCUCUGGAGAACCCUGACUAGUACAGCUACAUAUAGUGUGGUAUUGGUGUUAAAGAUCAAUAAAGCAGCAUGCAGAAUUCAAAACAAAACAUAUAUAGAAUUAACUGCCAACAAACAUGACAAAGUAGUCUACAUAGAAAAGGGUAGUUUUUUCCCCCAAAUGUUGCUGAUAACAAUUGUAUUUUCACAUAAAAAUUGACAGUUGACACAACUCGUGCUGUACGAAAAAAAGUUAACUUGUAAACAAAAAAUUAACUUGUAGUGGAUUAUAGACCUAAAUAUAAAAGCUAAAACCAUAAAACUUCUAGAAGAUAAUAUUGGAUAAAAUAUUCACAAACUUGGAGUGGGCAAAGAUUUCUUAAAACACAAAAAUCACUAACCAUUAAAAAAUCCCAAACCUCAGCAUCACACCAUAUACCCAAGUAAAAAAGCUGCACAUGUACCCACUUAAUCUAAAAUAAAAGUUGAAAAAAAUAAUAAUUUAAAAAAUUUGAAAAAUAAAAGUAAAAUAAAAUAGACAUUUGAGUCUUGAAGGACGGCAUUAAGAAACUGUAAAGGCAAACUAUAUUAAUAAAGAAAGUAUUAAUAAUGCAUAUGGAACAGGAGAGUUUCCUGACCUCUUCUUGGGACUUGUGACAAGAGUGUGGCUUGCUUGCUCUGCCACCACACAUUCAAACACCUUACAGGAAGGGGAGCAUACAGAUGGGCAGGUGCAGGAGCUGGGGUGAGCGCUUUUGGGCUCCUGCCCCAUGGUAGCAUCUAGGAGUAUGUUAUGAUUAAUGCUCUUUUAGCAGUUACCAUCUGUGUAUGGCUAAAUGUUAAACCAGCUCAGUGGAGUGUCAGG